rnacentral:rRNA from 1 species
CAGCAGCCGCGGGAAUACGUAUGGUGCGAGCGUUAAUCGGAAUUACUGGGCGUAAAGCGUGCGCAGGCGGUUGUGUAAGACAGGUGUGAAAUCCCCGGGCUUAACCUGGGAACUGCGCUUGUGACUGCACAGCUAGAGUAUGGCAGAGGGGGGUGGAAUUCCACGUGUAGCAGUGAAAUGCGUAGAGAUGUGGAGGAACACCGAUGGCGAAGGCAGCCCCCUGGGCCAAUACUGACGCUCAUGCACGAAAGCGUGGGGAGCAAACAGGAUUAGAUACCCCGGUAGUCCCUGUCUCUUAUCC